AUUGAACGCUGGCGGCGGGCCUAACACAUGCAAGUCGAACGGUAACAGGAAGCAGCUUGCUGCUUCGCUGACGAGUGGCGGACGGGUGAGUAAUGUCUGGGAAACUGCCUGAUGGAGGGGGAUAACUACUGGAAACGGUAGCUAAUACCGCAUAACGUCGCAAGACCAAAGAGGGGGACCUUAGGGCCUCUUGCCAUCGGAUGUGCCCAGAUGGGAUUAGCUAGUAGGUGGGGUAACGGCUCACCUAGGCGACGAUCCCUAGCUGGUCUGAGAGGAUGACCAGCCACACUGGAACUGAGACACGGUCCAGACUCCUACGGGAGGCAGCAGUGGGGAAUAUUGCACAAAGGGCGCAAGCCUGAUGCAGCCAUGCCGCGUGUAUGAAGAAGGCCUUCGGGUUGUAAAGUACUUUCAGCGGGGAGGAAGGGAGUAAAGUUAAUACCUUUGCUCAUUGACGUUACCCGCAGAAGAAGCACCGGCUAACUCCGUG
rnacentral:rRNA from 1 species